rnacentral:rRNA from 1 species
GAUCCUGGCUCAGGAUGAACGCUAGCUACAGGCUUAACACAUGCAAGUCGAGGGGCAGCAUGACGAUAGCUUGCUAUUGUCGAUGGCGACCGGCGCACGGGUGAGUAACGCGUAUCCAACCUUCCCAUAGCCAGGGAAUAACCUUGCGAAAGUAAGACUAAUGUCCUAUGUUGUUCUUUGCGGACAUCUAAAGAGAACGAAAGAUUUAUCGGCUAUGGAUGGGGAUGCGUCUGAUUAGGUUGUUGGCGGGGUAACGGCCCACCAAGCCUACGAUCAGUAGGGGUUCUGAGAGGAAGGUCCCCCACAUUGGAACUGAGACACGGUCCAAACUCCUACGGGAGGCAGCAGUGAGGAAUAUUGGUCAAUGGGCGAGAGCCUGAACCAGCCAAGUAGCGUGCAGGAAGACGGCCCUAUGGGUUGUAAACUGCUUUUAUAGGGGAAUAAAGUGAGCCACGUGUGGCUUUUUGCAUGUACCCUAUGAAUAAGGACCGGCUAAUUCCGUG